GACGAACGCUGGCGGCGUGCUUAACACAUGCAAGUCGAACGGUGAAGCGCCUUCCUUUUUGGUGGGUGUGGAUGAGUGGCGAACGGGUGAGUAACACGUGAGUAACCUGCCCCCUUCUUCUGGAUAACCGCAUGAAAGUGUGGCUAAUACGGGAUAUUCUGGGUCUGUCGCAUGAUGGGUCUGGGAAAGAUAUUGUUUCGGUGGGGGAUGGGCUCGCGGCCUAUCAGCUUGUUGGUGGGGUGAUGGCCUACCAAGGCGGUGACUGGUAGCCGGCCUGAGAGGGUGGACGGUCACACUGGGACUGAGACACGGCCCAGACUCCUACGGGAGGCAGCAGUGGGGAAUAUUGCACAAUGGGCGCAAGCCUGAUGCAGCGACGCCGCGUGAGGGAUGGAGGCCUUCGGGUUGUGAACCUCUUUCGCCAGUGAAGCAGGCCUGCCUCGUUUGUGGGUGGGUUGACGGUAGCUGGAGAAGAAGCGCCGGCUAACUACGUG
rnacentral:rRNA from 1 species